UACGAAGGGGGCUAGCGUUGCUCGGAAUGACUGGGCGUAAAGGGUGCGUAGGCGGUUUGGACAGUUGGGUGUGAAAUUCCCGGGCUUAACCCGGGGACUGCGCUCGAUACAUCCAGGCUUGAGUGAGGAAGAGGGUCGUGGAAUUCCCAGUGUAGAGGUGAAAUUCGUAGAUAUUGGGAAGAACACCGGUGGCGAAGGCGGCUCACUGGCUCAUUACUGACGCUCAGGCGCGACAGCGUGGGGAUCAAACAGG
rnacentral:rRNA from 1 species